rnacentral:rRNA from 1 species
CGACGUAAAGAACUUGCCUCACAGAUAGGGACAACAUUUGGAAACGAAUGCUAAUACCUGAUAUUAUGAUUUUAGGGCAUCCUAGGAUUAUGAAAGCUAUAUGCGCUGUGAGAGAGCUUUGCGUCCCAUUAGCUAGUUGGAGAGGUAACGGCUCACCAAGGCGAUGAUGGGUAGCCGGCCUGAGAGGGUGAUCGGCCACAAGGGGACUGAGACACGGCCCUU